UAUUUCAAAAUGACUUUCAUAAGCUGGCGCUUUAGCUGUUUAGCUGUUCUUGGCAAAGAAAAGUAUAGGAACUGCGCGGCGACGCAACGCGCUCUUACCGCGCGCUCGCACACAUACACUAAAGUGCGCGCUAGCUGGUCUGACGCUGACGAUGUUGGUGGUGAGCUCGUCGAAAUUGAAGUGAGGCUCAAAUAGUUUUCCAGCGCAUUUACCUGUUCGCGGACGUGUUUUACGGAGUGUUGCAGCACGUGCAUUUGUAUGUAGCUAGAGCGUGUGCGCGCGUUACCAAUUUUUGUUGUUUUUUGAGGCAGGCCCGCUUGCUGACUAAGUACAUACUUAUGUAGAUACUUCAAAAAUAUUAAGGUGUGUGUGUGCCAUUAAGGUGCUACAUAUAUGUGUGAAAUGAGUGGAUGAUUGUGUUUGUGUGUUGCUCUGGGUAGCCAAAGCAGUGUGUAGACGCAAGACGCCGCGCAGUUAAUUGAAGAAAAUUUUCGAGGAAACAUGAAAAGAUGCAAUAGCUAAAGUGACGGUGAAGGUGAAAAUGCAAAAAGAAAAAAAGAAAAAUUAACAACUAGGUAGGCGUAUCGCGCAAAUGCAAGAAAAUGAAUGAUAACUGAUAUAUUCUGUUUAAAGCGGCGACUUUGUGCGUACAAACUUAUGUAUGUAUGUAUGUUUGUGUGUAAAUAUGUAUGCGACAAUUUCAACUCAACGGUUUCUCAACGAUGCGGUGCAAUUAAACAAGUUUUUGGGUUUUUUUUUAUGUUUUUGUUGAACAGACAAGUAUGGGAAAAGUAGUAGAAAGGCAGUUAAAAAUUCCUGAAAAGGUUUGAGUGACGACGAUAAAUGUAAAAAGAAGUGGCGAUAAAGUGAACGAAUCGGGGAAAUAAGCAAGAAUGUCAUGGGCGCAGCGUUUAAAAGGAUAUAAAAAGCAACAAAAAUUAUGAAAUUUCCGAAGACAAGCCAAAAAAAAUAUUCAAGAAAUUCCAGAGUGUACUUGACAAACGUGCAUUCUUCUGUAUAAAAACACAUACACAUUCAUAUACAUAUUUACACACAUACAUACAUACAUAUGUAGAGUUGUAAAUGUGUUAUUGCAUAUGUAUGGGUGCAACUUGAACUGCGCCUGUGUAUUGGUUACCAUGGCAGUUACCAACGCUGAAAAGUGACGUCGUUGGAACCUAUAAAUAACAACUGAAAAAAUCAAAAAACAAAAAAUUACAAAUUACGUGCUGGGAAUUUGUCUUAAAACGAGCUAUUAAAUCGGUUUGUCGUGGUUUUUAGUAGCAGUUAGACGACUUAGAGAUCUUGAAACGCGUACGUAUGUAUGUACGUACAUAAAUAAAAAAACUAGAAUAAACGCAAUUUAAGUAGAAUCGCCACUAAGCAAAGACCGAAAUAUUUACAAAGUAUGACAAAUGGAGUAAACUUAGUGAAGAGAGUGUAAAAA
rnacentral:lncRNA from 1 species